GUACUGCUGAAGAGUUCAACAACAGGAUGAAACGGGCCUUCCAGUGU
rnacentral:hammerhead_ribozyme from 1 species